CUGAUAUGUAAAACCAUAGAAUUCAUAUAAAGUGUACUUUCGUUUCCCCAUGAUGUCUCCAGGUCACCUAUUUUGGCAUUCAAUUUCCAAUUUGUUGGUGAAUUUUCAACAAUUCAUAGUUAAAUCAUACCUCCCAACAUUGUGAGGUAUAUAAUAAGGAAGGGGGUGCAGACCUUCUAGGGGGCAUUGUCAGUGACGCCACUUGCGUCACUGACAACACCAACAUCAGGUCGGUGUCAGGUCGGCUCAGGAAGUGGGCGUGUUUGCCUGCCUAAGGAGGUGUCAUGCAUGCUCGGUUGGCCUCCUAUUUGCUGCUGAAGUACUCUCCACAUAGUCUUAGUACUCGUUUCACAGGGCUAGUGUGUCAAAUGAUGCAUUCAUACAGUUCCCUGGUGUCCCCAGAUGUGGUCUCCGGAUGUUGUCCACCAGGGAACUAAAUUGGGCCAUUGGGACAGUACCCUGAAAUCAGGAAUGUGCUGCCAAAAGAGGGACUGUUGGGAGCCCUGUUUAACCCGUUAAGGACCAAACUUCUGGAAUAAAAGGGAAUAAUGACAUGUAUGACAUGUCAUGUGUCCUUAACGGGUUAAAUUAAAACCCUGUAAUAUCCCUUACAGUAAACUGAAAACAAUAUUAAUUCAGGCUAGAAUAGACAAGUUUUGCCUAUAAACGUAGAGAUUUUUUUUCCCUUCAGCGAUUGUUUACCAAAUUUUGCAACUGGCCUUUCAAUGUUCUACCAUUAAAGGAAUUGCUUGUAGUUUUCAGUAUCUGAAUUGGCCUUUCAAGUAACGAUGCUUAUUUUAAAUUUUGUGUUAAUCUUGUUUCAGAAACAUCUAGUCACUGCUUCCCUGAGACCACUGUAAGUUUUAUAGU